UACGUAGGCAGCAAACGUUGUUCGGAGUUACUGGGCGUAAAGAGUACGUAGGCGGUUUGCCAAGUUUGGUGUGAAAUCUCCUGGCUUACCUGGGAGGGUGCGCCGAAUACUGGCGGGCUUGAGUAUUGGAGAGGAAAGCGGAAUUCCAGGUGUAGCGGUGAAAUGCGUAGAUAUCUGGAGGAACACCGGUGGCGAAGGCGGCAUCCUGGACCGGCAUUGACGCUGAGGAGCGAAAGCCAGGGGAGCAAACGGG
rnacentral:rRNA from 1 species